GACGAACGCUGGCGGCGUGCCUAAUACAUGCAAGUAGAACGCACAGUUUAUACCGUAGCUUGCUACACCAUAGACUGUGAGUUGCGAACGGGUGAGUAACGCGUAGGUAACCUGCCUGGUAGCGGGGGAUAACUAUUGGAAACGAUAGCUAAUACCGCAUAAUAUUGAUUAUUGCAUGAUAAUUGAUUGAAAGAUGCUAUUGCAUCACUACCAGAUGGACCUUCGUUGUAUUAGCUAGUAGGUGAGGUAACGGCUCACCUAGGCGACGAUACAUAGCCGACCUGAGAGGGUGAUCGGCCACACUGGGACUGAGACACGGCCCAGACUACUACGGGAGGCAGCAGUAGGGAAUCUUCGGCAAUGGACGAAAGUCUGACCGAGCAACGCCGCGUGAGUGAAGAAGGUUUUCGGAUCGUAAAGCUCUGUUGUAAGAGAAGAACGGGUGUGAGAGUGGAAAGUUCACACUGUGACGGUAGCUGACCAGAAAGGGACGGCUAACUACGUG
rnacentral:rRNA from 1 species